rnacentral:pre_miRNA from 1 species
AGACACCCUUCUGGGGCAAGACUUGCUUCAGUGGGGCUUUGGUGCUCACUGAGUCUGCCCCCUGGGUUUGUCCCU